UGAAAUGCAAGUUCCAUAAAAGAGAUGUAAGUAGAAAGCAUUGGUGUGUGUGUUUAAGAGUCUGCAGCAGUGGCAGAGAUUGUGGUUCUGGAGGAGGCAGAGAAAAGAAGAUCUGAGAUGGUGAUGAAAGAGUUUUCUCUCAAAUCCAGGUAUCCACGUUCACUGUGACCUGCUCUGAAGACCUGGGACAGCUGCUGGAGAUCCAGCUUAAAAAACAGGGAGGCAUCAUCAUCAAAGACAGUUGGCUCCCUGCAAAGGUGGAGGUGGAGUCUCCUGAUGGAAAAGUCUACGUGUUUCCCAUCUACCACUGGUUAACAGACAGCAAGAAGCACUUCUUCAGGGAGGGGGCAGCUGUGCUGGACUUCCAGGAGACGAAUCCUCAGAUGAUCAAGACGAGGAAGAAUGAGCUGAAGAAUCAGAAGGAUCUCUACAGGUGGGCCGUUUACAAAGAGGGAAUUCCACUCUGCAUGGAGGCAGAUACCCUGAAGUCUCUGCCCCCAGAUGACCGCUACCCCUUCACAAGGGAACUGGAGUUUAAUUUCACAGCAGUGGCAGCGUAUGUGUCUGCUUCCUGAUGGUUGGACAUGCCAGAGUGACUUUGAACUCAGGACAUUGAAAAGCUGUACGAGUGUCAUGUGACCUCAGUGUCAGGUACUUUAUUGAUUCUUAUAGAAAGAGAAAUCCUUCCUGUUAACAGGUUGAUUGUCCAAUGGGUGUACUCCCAAUUGUUGAGAAUUCUUCUCAGGUGUUUUCCCUGUGGUCAUGCCAUGUCACUGCCUAUUUAAACUGCACCUGCACCAAUAAACAAUUGAUUGUAUGUUCUGACUGCAGACUGUGUCCCAGUGUGUGCUUUUGCUCCCCUUUGGAAAGCCAUGUUUAGCACUUCCAAAUACCGUCAGAGAUGUUAUUGAGAUGAGCAGUGCAG